AACGAACGCUGGCGGCAUGCCUAACACAUGCAAGUCGAACGAGAUCUUCGGGUCUAGUGGCGCACGGGUGCGUAACGCGUGGGAAUCUGCCCUUUGGUUCGGAAUAACAGUUGGAAACGACUGCUAAUACCGGAUGAUGACGAAAGUCCAAAGAUCUAUCGCCAGAGGAUGAGCCCGCGUAUGAUUAGCUAGUUGGUGUGGUAAAGGCGCACCAAGGGGACGAUCAUUAGAUGGUCUGAGAGGAUGAUCAGCCACACUGGGACUGAGACACGGGCCAGACUCCUACGGGAGGCAGCAGUGGGGAAUAUUGGUCAAGGGGCGAAAGCCUGAUCCAGCUAUGCCGCGUGAGUGAUGAAGGCCUUAGGGUUGUAACGCUCUUUUACCCGGGAUGAUAAUGACAGUACCGGGAGAAUAAGCUCCGGCUAACUCCGUGCCAGCCGCCGCCGUAA
rnacentral:rRNA from 1 species